rnacentral:rRNA from 1 species
GCAAGGAAUUUUCCGCAAUGGGCGCAAGCCUGACGGAGCAACGCCGCGUGGGGGACGACGCCCUUCGGGGUGUAAACCCCUUUUCUUGGGGACGACGACCGACGGUACCCGAGGAAGAAGGCCCGGCUAACUACGUGCCAGCAGCCGCGGUAAUACGUAGGGGCCGAGCGUUGUCCGGAGUUACUGGGCGUAAAGCGCGCGCAGGCGGCUCGUCAAGUCCGGCGUGAAAGCCCCCGGCUCAACCGGGGAGGGUCGUCGGAGACUGGCGGGCUUGAGAGCGGCAGGGGUCGGUGGAAUGCCCGGUGUAGUGGUGAAAUGCGUAGAGAUCGGGCGGAACACCCGUGGCGAAGGCGGCCGACUGGGCCGACUCUGACGCUGAGGCGCGAAGGCGUGGGGAGCGAACGGGAUUAGAUACCCCAGUAGUCC